rnacentral:tRNA from 1 species
AGCAGCGUGGCUUAGUGGAAAGAGCAUGGGCUUGGGAGCCAGGGAUCGUGGGUUCUAAUCCCAUCUCCACCA